UACAGAGGGUGCGAGCGUUAAUCGGAAUUACUGGGCGUAAAGCGUGCGCAGGCGGUUUUGCAAGACUGUCGUGAAAUCCCCGGGCUCAACCUGGGAAUGGCGAUGGUGACUGCAAGGCUAGAGUUUGGCAGAGGGGGGUAGAAUUCCACGUGUAGCAGUGAAAUGCGUAGAUAUGUGGAGGAACACCGAUGGCGAAGGCAGCCCCCUGGGUCAAAACUGACGCUCAUGCACGAAAGCGUGGGGAGCAAACAGG
rnacentral:rRNA from 1 species